AUGAUGUCAAAGGAUUCCAAGUCUUUUUCUGAGGUGGUCGAUGGCUUUCGAGAGAUGCAUUCAUAUCUCACAAGUUUCCAGGGGUUCAAGUUCAUCUAUAUAAGAAGGAAUGCCAAUUUUGUUGCACAUCUGUGUGUGAAAGAGGCACUAAAACUUGAUGUACUUGCUAUUUUUUUUCUUGUAAGGCCUACCUACCUGAUUAAGACUAUUCAAUCACAGUUAUUUUUGCCUGGCAUGCCCUGCACCUCCUCCAUCUUAGUGCCACCGUCACGACCCAGCCUCCAUUUGCUGGUCGCUGCUAGCUGCUGUUGCUGUGUCCUGCCUCGCCCUCUAGCUAAUGUUGGUGCACUACUGUUCAAGUUCAACUAG
rnacentral:rRNA from 1 species